CGUGUAGCCGGGCCGACAAGUCAGAUGUGAAAUCCACGGGCUUAACCCGUGAACUGCAUUUGAAACUGUUGGUCUUGAGUAUCGGAGAGGUAACCGGAAUUCCUAGUGUAGAGGUGAAAUUCGUAGAUAUUCGGAGGAACACCAGUGGCGAAGGCGGCUCACUGGCUCGAUACUGACGCUGAGGUGCGAAAGCGUGGGGAGCAAACA
rnacentral:rRNA from 1 species